UACCCUUGGCAUACAGUGAAUUUUGCAGAGAUGCAUUAGUGCCUUCGGGAACACUGAUAC
rnacentral:rRNA from 1 species